GAGAGAGAGAGAGAGAGAGAGAGAGAAUGAAUUUCUUGUAGAAGUAUUGGGAUUCCAGAUGUGAGCCACUGCAUCUAGUUUUUUGUGAGUCCCAGGGACUGAAUUCAGGUUCAUGUGUGAGCAUGUUCUAUAAAAUACUUUUACCUACUUAACUAUCUCACCAGUUAACUACUCUGUGUGGUAGUUUGAAUGUAUUUGCCUCCUCCUCCCAUAAGCUUAUAGGGAGUGGCACUAUUAGGAGGUGUGACGUUGGAGCUAGUGUGGUCUUGUUGGAGGAGGCUGGAUGACAACAGGCUUUUAAUCCAGACCUUGAGGCUGGAAAGAACACCUUUAAUCUGGGCCACACCUUCUUUUGGAAGUAUCUCACUAUGGGUGCCGGUUUUGAGGUUUCCCAUACUCAGGAUACCCCCCAGCGAGCCAGUUGACUUCCUGUUACCUGCAAGAUGUAGGACAUUUGGCUAUUUCUCCAGCACCAAGCCUGCCUGCCUUCCUGCCUGCUGCCAUGAUCCCCAUAAUGACUACUGAACUGACCUGCUAGAGCUUGUGAAGGGACUGGGCCUGUGGAUCUCCAAGACUCGUGGCAGCCACAGGAUAUUCCAGAGGAGUUCCAGUGAGGAUCCAGUGGAGAUGGUGUACCAGAAACAAGAAGCCUUGAACCAGACCAGUGACUCAUUGCAAAGAUAGUUUUCCAGUAAGAUUGACAGGACAAAGAGGUAUGCUAUAUGGCACACUGAAGCCUCCAUUGCCACCAGGACCAAUGAAGAGGUGUUAGAGAGGCAGGAAAGAAGAGAAUGUUCCAUGAUAUUUCCUUUUCUGUUCACCUGGGUCUCCAGGGCUGCUUGGUUACCUGGACAGUGCAGCAACAAGCGUGGAAGUGCAAGCAUCUCUGUGCCACUUGACUUGGAGUGACCAGUGCGGUGGCUGGGUCAUGUGGAAGCUCUCCAUUUAGUUUUGAAGAACUUCCAUGCUGAUGUCCAUAGUGGCUGCACAAGUUUGCAUUCAUUGUCUAACCAUUUCUUUUCCUCCAAUUCUCUCCAGUAGUUGUUGUCCUUUUUAUUUUUAUUUUGUUGUUGUUUGUUUUGAGACAUCUAUAACCUGGGAUGGACUGGCAUUUACUAUGUAGGUCCGGCUGACCUUGAACUCAUAUUCUUCUUGCCUCAGCCCUUCAAGUCCUGUGAUCAUAGCAUGGAUGCAACAAUACCCAUCACCUGUUUCCUCAAUGCGGUCUAUUCUGAAGGGAGUGAGAUACAUGCUUUAUGUACCAACCCCACAUCUGAUGGGUAUCUGUAGAGAGAUGCCCUCCUGGCCAUUUUCUAGGCUGAUGAUUGUUGUUAUCUUUGCUGUACAGAAGAGUCUUAAGUCUGUGCUACUGUGUACUUGACCCUGUGACUCCCAUCAGCCCUUGCUAAAGGCACUCCCGGCCUCCUUUGCAGGUGUACUGGAUAGGCUCCAGUGGUCAGAGACAGACCUCGGGAAGGAGGCACACUGCUUGCAGAUGAAAGCCACUGUGAGAGAGUGUGCUUUUGAGCUUCAUGUGAGCCUUUCAAGGUGUCUUUUCACUGGUGCUUCCAGACGGUGACCCAUUGUUUCAAUUUCUUUUUUAGAAAAAACAAAACAAAACCCCUCCCAACUUUCCAAAAGAAGGUUAAUGGGAUAAGGCACAUCUCCACUGCUUCAGGUCAAAGCUUUAUCUUCACUAUUCAACUCUCUUCAGCUUUGACCAGAAAUUGUUUUUCUCAUACAAUUCUUUUUUUGCUGAGAUACAUUCUAUACACCUUAGGGUGCCUCCCUACCUUUCCUUUUUGCAGUACUCGGGGUUGGUCCUGGGCCUCACAUGUGCCACUGAACCUCUUUCACUUAUUGAAAGUGUAUGCAGAGUUCCUACCCUACUACCCACUCCUGCAACCACCAAUUUACUCUCUCUGUCUAUCCUCUUAGUGUUGAGGAUUGAACCCAGGGCGUUUCACAUGUUACAUGAAUACUGUACCACUGAGUGGUAGUUAUUCUUUGUGGAUUUUUCUAUUUUGACAGUUCAUAUACCCAGAAUCAUAGGACGUAUGGCCUUUCCCAUCUGAUGCCUUACAUCCAGCUGAGGGUUUCCUUGACUCGUCUGUGUCAUGGCAUAUACUGCUACUCCAUUCUGUUUUAUAGUAGAAUUAUCCUAUAGAAUCACAAUACCAUUUUAUUAACCCUUAAAGAUGGAUAUUGGGGUUGCUUUACUUUUUUUUGUUAUCAUGAACAACAGACAUUUGGUUGCUGUGAGCAUUUAGGUGCGGUGUGUGUGUGUGUGUGUGUGUGUGUGUGU